UUAACCUAAUCUAUCAAUCUCUCUGUCUCUCUCGUUAGCUCUAUCAGCCGCCUCCCCCUUACCCUCUCCAUCGCUCUCUUCUCUCAGCCCCGCUAUCUCUCUCUUUUCUCUCAACCUCGACCACAAACACCUCCCCUCCACUCGACUCUCCCGUUCUUCUCUCUCGGCAACAGUGCUCUUCCUUCCGACAGUGCCGAUAACAGAGCGGUGGUGGUGCGCGACAUGGUUGGUUGUCCAACGGGUAUUACCUGCAAUGUGGUUUAUGGUAUUUAAAUCUAUCGUCAACCCCGUAGUCCCGUUGCUUGGCAGGAGUAAGAACCACCAGGGACUGGUGGCUUUUGUCGAAAAUGGAUUGAUGAUCAGAUGGUGGUCUCAGGGAUUAGUUUGGUGGGAAAAACUCAGUCCCUGCACAGUGUACCAAAUUGAUCUUUGUGUCACCAUGGAAGGGAUUCUCACCUAAUUCUUCUAAGCCAAGCAUAAUGGAAAGUGUAAUGGAACAUGACAAACAAGUAGAUUUUCAAGUAGUCCACCUUAUUACCUUAAGUUAUGAGAAUACUAUCUACUGUUAUAACUUCUACUUUUAAAGUUUUAUCAUAUUUUUUUUGCUAGGAGAAUUUUUUGUUUGUAUUGUGAUUCUACAAUUUUUUUCUUGGUUUAGUUUGUGUGAUGUAGAACUAAGAGCGAAAGGAAUAGAACAUGGAGGAAUUUUAGAGAGAGACAUAGAACAAGAGACAAAAAAGUAGGCACUAGAGAGAGAGAGAGAGAGAGAAUCAAAAUAUUCAAAACAGAGAUAAUUUUAUAAUUCAUUGUCUUCUCUAAAAAUAUGAAGAUAGCUAAGUCUAUUUAAUUAUUUAUUGGUAGGCAACUGAGCAUAAUAAGAAACAUGCAGUUUGUUGGAUUAUUAUGCAUUCUUAUUUGGUGCUUGGCUGAGUUUUGAGUUUCUUAAGGCUUUCACUUUUUGCAUAUAGCUAGACUAGUUAGUAUGGAAAAAAUUUAUUUGAAACUGCUUCUAUAGUUGAUAACGCAUAUUAUAUUUUCUAUUUCAGUUUCAAUCACUUUAUAGGAUUUCUUUUAGUUAUGAAUUGUGUUGGCUUUUAUGCCUUGUUAUGCAUCUUAUAAAACUGAUUUUAUUAUGUAUCAUUUUCCCUUCUUGCACUUGAUCACUCUUUUUGUUUUCCUUCUUGGUCACCCUCUAUUUGGUUUAAGAAUUAACAAAGGACAGUUGUAGUGGUUUUUUGGUUUUGGGGUCUCUAAAUUUCUGCAGUAAAAAAUGGUAGUUGUAUUUUUUUUAUUGAAUCACUGAAGUAGUGUUUUAGAAUAUGCCUACUGAUCAAUCACGAUUGAUUUAGUUUCCCUUUGUUUGGUAUUAUUACGGUUGUCUUUGGGUUUUUAAGAAAUUAACAAUACAGAAGAAAAUGGUGUUGGUUUAUAUGGUUGUGAAAUAUUAUGUCUUUUUUCAUUGUCUUAACAUACCUACUCUUUUGUUAAUUUUGGUGUAUCUUCAUUAUUUUUCAGAUAUUUGAUUUUGGACUAGCAAAAUAGAUGCCAUCUUAAUGGACUCAUCAUUCAAUUGCUCUUAAUAUUUCUCAGGCUAACCAUAUCAUCAACAAGGUACUUAAAGAGAGCAUAUUUUGAUUAUUGUAGGAAGCAAUUUCAAGUGCCAAGUCUAUCAGGGGUACUCUAUAUUGGAUGGCUCUUGAAGUCAUUAUCGAGAGUGUUCAUCUUGAGUCGUUGUCUUGACCGAGAGAUUCUAAAUUUCCCAAAGGAUUGUGCAACUUGUGGAGGAGGUUGAGUUGGCACAUUCCCAGAGGUUUGCCCAGUUUUCCUAGUUGUUUUCGCCAUUUGAUCUUCUUGGAGGUCAUGAGUUCAGCUCUCAAUGAAAGCACCAAAAUGUUGACCUUCGAUUUGAUCAUUGACAUUGAGUCAAAUAAAAUGACUGAAAUUUAGAUGAAUUCAAGUCAAGAAGAUAAAUGAGACAAGGAUUUAUAGUGGUUCGGCCCCAAGUGAUGGUAAUAACCUAUGUCCACAUAGUGUUCUUAUUAAUGUAAUGGGAGCCUGCGAUCUAUAAACAAGGGUUUACUGAGUUUCACAAGCUCAGUAAUAGAUACAAAGAAUUAUGUAAGAACAAUUAUUUUCUCUCUUAGUCUCCCAAGAUCCCUCUCAUGACCCAUUUCAGUCUUAUUUAUAGGCUUAAUGAUCUACCUAUGGGCCGAUGGGGCUUGAAUACAUUUAAUACAAACAUAUUUGAAUAAUAAUGGAAAUUACACUUUUUAUAUAAA